UAUUUGGUCGUUUCAUAUGAUAACUACCUGGGAAUAAUGAGUGUUAAUGAGUGUUUCAUUCGUGUAUGAAUCCCUCGAGCGGUAAACCGAGGGAAGGUGGCUCAGGGAGGGAGGUCAAGCCGGCAGUCUAUCUGUGGUAUAGCAGCCGCACACACCUUGUUGGAUUGAAACCUGUGGAUUUAUUCCCUGUGAGCGCCAGAGAUUGAGAACGAGGAUGUGAGUACCUGGCUAGCCUUUCACCUCGUGUAUUCGAGAAGGAUGAGGAGCGAAGCAAUGGGGCAGAGAGGCAGCGAGCCAGCGAGUCAGCAGUGGACGUGAGUGACGCUCGAGCGACUGAAUCUGGUUGAGGGUGGCCGUGGUUAGUUACUGAACAUGUGUGUGUAUGGCUCAGCGGUGUCUUUUGUGGUAAGAGGAGAAGGUAGAGUAUAGUGAUUCUUGUUCGUUAUCGUUGUCAUGUUGUUCAUCUUCUGUUUUUACUUAUAUUUUCUUUGUUAACGUCUUUGUCGUCAUUUUAUUAUGCAUUUGCUUCUAUUUCUUGUUUCUUUUUACCGUUUCUCUCUCUCUCUCUCUCUGAAAUAAUAAAAAAAAAAAAGCUAAAAACAAGGACGGCCAAACUGAUUUAUUGUAUGUAUUAAGUCCAUUUUCACCUUCUGAAUUAUUGUCUCCAAGUGUCAAUUACUAAGACUCUUCUUCCUCCUCCUGCUGCUGCUGCUAUUAUUGUUGCCGUUCUUGCACACCGGUACACACGCGCCAGUCUUUAUGUAAGAACUCAUCCUUCCCUUCAGUUACCUUCCCUUUAGCAGAUAGAAUCCUUCUCUUUAAGACGGCCCCGGGCAGACAGCUCGGUGGGCAGCUUUCAUGGUCCUCGGAGGGGCGGGAGUGGAUACUUUUCUUAGGGCGAGACGACUGACAAUCAAUACCUGAUGACGCUGAUGACUGGUUUUGUGGGCGUUGUGAAGGCGAGGACGGGGCUGAUGACUAUCUGCUACUUGCUGCCGUGCGUCUUGCCACACUGACUUUGGCUCUUAAUAUACAGCAGAAGAAACAAGCCUGGGAGGAAAUAUGCUGAAAUGGAGAGUUGAGGAGGUGGGCCAGACAUCAGCUCACGACAUUGUUGGAACACGCGGUGGUGCCGCUUCUUCCAUGUGAAGAGCGUAUGGCUUGAGAUACCGGGUAUUUAGCAGUUCUUUUAUUUCCGCUUGUAAAUAAACAAAAAGUACUUCUUAUUCUAUUAGCUAAACUAAGACAAUAAAUGUGAACAGUCAACAGCACAAGACUCGUAUCCAGUUUGCGCGCGAACACGCGGUGUUGCCGCUUCUUCCAUGUGAAGAGCGUAUGGCUUGAGAUACCGGAUAUUUAGCAGUUCUUUUACUUCCACUUGUAAAUAAAUAAAAUGUAGUUAUUAUUCUAUUAGCUAAACUAAGACAACAAAUGUGAACAGUCAACAGCACAAAACUCCUCUCCAGUUUGCGCGCGCAUUUCUCUGCUGUGGCGUGUUUUGUGGCUCCUCGCUGAACACUUCUAUCUCUUGACGCUGUGAGUUAGGCUACUUUGACGGUGACUUGAACACUACCACACUGGGCUGCUGUGUGUGUGAGGAAGGUGUGGUGGAGCUGUGAAGUGUGGCAGAGGUGGUGGAGGGAAGCAAGCUGUGCGUUACCCUACAACCAUCACCACCACCGCCGCCAUGUCAUCUUCGUCUUCUUCCUUCUCUUUAUUCUUUUCCUCCUUUCCCUCCGCUGACGUGUGUGUGGUGUUCCUUGACCGCCGUCAUGAGAAAGAGAAUAUGCAAGAUCUGCUCCCAGGCCAGUGAGACUUCCAUAAAUAUGCUAAAGCUGCCAGCCGUGAUGCCGAGCAGAUCUCCAACAAGCAGUUCUUCAUGUUCACUCUGUUUUUUCAUCCAGUAAUGAUCAUCAUCCUACAUUCACCCUGUUGGAGGUAGGUGAAGGGAACACGACCUGAGAAAUGUGUACUUUAUUCCUGACUAGUCUCGCAGUAGCUUUUUCAGAGGACUGUGCCUGCCCUCUUCACCACCUACAUCCAAUUUCUCACAAUGUCAUCACCUUUCUCUGCCGUCCAGUCCAGUAAUGUUUCUCUUCUUUCACUGUGUUGUCCUGUCCAGUAUUGCUCGUGCGAAUGUCAGAAGUCUCCGCCUGUUGGUCAGUUGGCUUUUGUAGUCACUGUUUUCUUUUGUUUUUAUAUGCAUCUGAAGUUGUCUUGCCUUGUUCUUUCUUGUUUUGUCUUCGUGAUGUUGCUCUUCUUUCUCUUUCGUUGUUCAGUUCAGUUUGUGGGAAUGUCAAAAGUCGCUGUGUGUGGGUCAACUGGGGUUUUGCAGUCUCUAUUUUCUUUUGUUAUUACUCGUAUAUGCUCUUUUAUUGAUUUAUCCUACUCU